GCGUGCCUAAUACAUGCAAGUCGAGCGGACUUGACGGAGCUUGCUUCGUUCAGGUCAGCGGCGGACGGGUGAGUAACACGUGGGUAACCUGCCUAUAAGACUGGGAUAACUCCGGGAAACCGGGGCUAAUACCGGAUAACAUCAAGAGCUGCAUGGCUUUUGGUUGAAAGGCGGCUUCGGCUGUCACUUAUAGAUGGACCCGCGGCGCAUUAGCUAGUUGGUGGGGUAACGGCCCACCAAGGCCACGAUGCGUAGCCGACCUGAGAGGGUGAUCGGCCACACUGGGACUGAGACACGGCCCAGACUCCUACGGGAGGCAGCAGUAGGGAAUCUUCCGCAAUGGACGAAAGUCUGACGGAGCAACGCCGCGUGAGUGAAGAAGGUUUUCGGAUCGUAAAACUCUGUUGUCAGGGAAGAACAAGUAUCGGAGUAACUGCCGGUACCUUGACGGUACCUGACCAGAAAGCCACGGCUAACUACGUGCCAGCAGCCGCGGUAAUACGUAGGUGGCAAGCGUUGUCCGGAAUUAUUGGGCGUAAAGCGCGCGCAGGCGGCCUUUUAAGUCUGAUGUGAAAGCCCCCGGCUCAACCGGGGAGGGUCAUUGGAAACUGGAAGGCUUGAGUGCAGAAGAGAAGAGCGGAAUUCCACGUGUAGCGGUGAAAUGCGUAGAGAUGUGGAGGAACACCAGUGGCGAAGGCGGCUCUUUGGUCUGUAACUGACGCUGAGGCGCGAAAGCGUGGGGAGCGAACAGGAUUAGAUACCCUGGUAGUCCACGCCGUAAACGAUGAGUGCUAAGUGUUGGGGGGUUUCCGCCCCUCAGUGCUGCAGCUAACGCA
rnacentral:rRNA from 1 species